AGUUGGUGGAUUGAUUUGUCUGGUUAAUUCCGUUAACGAACGAGACCUCAGCCUACUAAAUAGACAGAGGAAUCCUUCGGAAUUCCUUCUGCGCUUCUUAGAGGGACUAUUGGUGUUUAGCCAAUGGAAGCUUGAUGCAAUAACAGG
rnacentral:rRNA from 1 species